ACAUAGUUACAUGCCUGGUGGAUCAGGGGAAUGCUGUGAACAUAGUGUAUCUUGACUUCAGCAAGGCUUUUGACAAAUUUCCCCAUGAUAUUCUUGCAGAGAAGCUGGUAAAAUAUGGACUGGAGACAUUUUCUGACUCUAAGAGCUAUUCUACAGUGGAACAGACAAGAGAAUCUACUCUCUUUCUCUUGGAGGUGUGCCUGUGAUCCAUAAUUGAAGCAAACCCCAUGAUGGGGAAAGCAUGUUAGAACACCAUAUUGAUCAAACAAUUGAGAUAUUGAAAAAGCAAGCUGAAGACGGAAUGAGAAAAUUGGAAAGCAAGUUGGAUGCUCUGGAAAAUAAUCAUUAAUUAUAACAAGAUGGCACAGCCUUGACAGUACACUCUGGGGAAGGCUCUACAGAGAUUCAGCAACUGUUUUGCCCAAGUCUGCAUGGAGUUCAGCCUUACCAUCAGCCUGGUGAAGACCAACAUCCUGGGUCAGGAGCAACACCUCCCUGCCUUCCACCUGCACUGUGUAAGGAACAUUUUGGGCACCACAUGGCAGGACAGAGUCUCAAACAAAGAUGUGCUCUGCCAAGCCAUAGUCCCGGAAUGUUAGCACUUCAGCCAUGGCUACACUGGCUUGCGUCAUGUACACAGAAUGGAAGAUGGAUGGAUCCCCAUGGAUGUGCUUUACAGGGAGCUGGCUUCAGGCACCAGGCCUCUUGGCAAACCAACUCUGUGUUAUAAAGUUAUAAAGUCUGGAAACGUGACAUAAAGGCUGGUAACAUUAACCCCACUAUGUGAGAAUCCCUUGCAGAUGACCGCAACGCCAGGAGACAAGACAGUCAGGUCAUGUAUCCACAGUAGUGACCUGAAGAGGAGGAAGGAGCACAGGGAGAAGAAAUGCCAUUGUGCAUUUGCAACACCAAAACCAGAUGCCUUCAUCUGCCCCAGGUGCAAUAAAACAUGUCCCUCCCAUAUUGGUUUCUACAGCCACAAUAGGCGCUGUAACUCUCCAACAGUUUGAUUUACCCCUGGUGGCACUCUUCCCAUUGUCUCUCAAGACAGACGGAUGCCAACAGGUUAUGUUCAUUUGAUAGCCACAGUAAACAUGCAGACCCCCCUGCCUCCCAAAAGCUUUUAAAAUUCUCCCUCUCAGAUCCCUUAACACUAUUUUGAGUGCAAGAAUGUGCAGUUUGGUUCAUUAGUUUCAGAUAUGUAUCAUUGGCUUCAGAGACAGAAGUUAUUUUACCUAAACAGAGAGAAAACGCUAUUCUCUAAUACAGUGGUACCUCGGGUUAAGUACUUAAUUCGUUCCGGAGGUCCGUUCUU